rnacentral:rRNA from 1 species
AACGAACGCUGGCGGCAGGCUUAACACAUGCAAGUCGAGCGCCCCGCAAGGGGAGCGGCAGACGGGUGAGUAACGCGUGGGAAUCUACCCAUCUCUACGGAAUAACGCAUGGAAACGUGUGCUAAUACCGUAUACGUCCUUCGGGAGAAAGAUUUAUCGGAGAUGGAUGAGCCCGCGUUGGAUUAGCUAGUUGGGGGGGUAAAGGCCUACCAAGGCGACGAUCCAUAGCUGGUCUGAGAGGAUGAUCAGCCACACUGGGACUGAGACACGGCCCAGACUCCUACGGGAGGCAGCAGUGGGGAAUAUUGGACAAUGGGCGCAAGCCUGAUCCAGCCAUGCCGCGUGAGUGGUGAAGGCCCUAGGGUUGUAAAGUUCUUUCACCGGUGAAGAUAAUGACGGUAACCGGAGAAGAAGCCCCGGCUAACUUCGUGCCAGCCGCCGCCGUAACAC